AUUGAACGCUGGCGGCAUGCCUUACACAUGCAAGUCGAACGGCAGCACGGGAGCUUGCUCCUGGUGGCGAGUGGCGAACGGGUGGGUAAUACAUCGGAACGUACCCUGAAGUGGGGGAUAACGUAGCGAAAGUUACGCUAGUACCGCAUAUUCUGUGAGCAGGAAAGAGGGGGAUCGCAAGACCUCUUGCUUUAGGAGCGGCCGAUGUCGGAUUAGCUAGUUGGUGAGGUAAAGGCUCACCAAGGCGACGAUCCGUAGCGGGUCUGAGAGGAUGAUCCGCCACACUGGGACUGAGACACGGCCCAGACUCCUACGGGAGGCAGCAGUGGGGAAUUUUGGGACAAUGGGCGCAAGCCUGAUCCAGCCAUGCCGCGUGAGUGAAGAAGGCC
rnacentral:rRNA from 1 species